UCCGUAGGUGAACCUGCGGAAGGAUCAUUAACACUAAUCCAAUUCACCUUAACCUAGCCUUCAGUGUAGUAUCAGUGCUAGCUUCGGCAGGCCUCUUACUACUCUAUAAAACUAAACUAAAGAAGCUUAACUAAGCUCAAACACUAAAACCAAAUUCUCAACGAUGGAUAUCUUGGUUCCCAUAACGAUGAAGAACGCAGCGAAGUGCGAUAAGCAAUGCGAAUUGCAGAACCGUGAGUCAUCAGAUCUUUGAACGCAACUGGCGCCGGUUGGCUCUCCAAUCGGCAUGCUUGUUUCAGUGUCUCUUUAUCUCAUCACCCAUAUCAUAAUGCGAGAGAUACCCUUCUCUUGCUAAGCUCGAAAGCACUCUGCGCUCUGCGAGCGGCUUCGACUUGUUCGAGGGCCGCACUCAAUGCAGCAGUCACAUUGCUCACAAUGUGAACUCAUUGAGAGCUGAGGCAGUGUAGCGUAAGCUACCAGUGCUUAGUCACGCAAACUUUACUUGCAUCUGGAAA
rnacentral:rRNA from 1 species